rnacentral:rRNA from 1 species
UACGGAGGGUGCGAGCGUUAAUCGGAAUUACUGGGCGUAAAGCGCACGUAGGCGGCUUUCUAAGUCAGGGGUGAAAUCCUGGAGCUCAACUCCAGAACUGCCUUUGAUACUGGAGAGCUUGAGUCCGGAAGAGGUGAGUGGAACUCCGAGUGUAGAGGUGAAAUUCGUAGAUAUUCGGAAGAACACCAGUGGCGAAGGCGGCUCACUGGUCCGGUACUGACGCUGAGGUGCGAAAGCGUGGGGAGCAAACAGG